UACGGAGGGUGCGAGCGUUGUCCGGAAUUACUGGGCGUAAAGCGUGCGCAGGCGGCUUUGCAAGACAGAUGUGAAAUCCCCGGGCUCAACCUGGGAACUGCAUUUGUGACUGCAAGGCUAGAGUACGGUAGAGGGGGAUGGAAUUCCGCGUGUAGCAGUGAAAUGCGUAGAUAUGCGGAGGAACACCGAUGGCGAAGGCAAUCCCCUGGACCUGUACUGACGCUCAUGCACGAAAGCGUGGGGAGCAAACAGG
rnacentral:rRNA from 1 species